CCGGCUCCUUCCCCCGCGCAUCCCGGAGAGCGGAGACAGGAGGGAGGGGAGGAGGUGUCCGCCGGGAAUCGCUCAGAGGGAGGAGGAGGAGGAGGAGGAGGAGGAGGAUGGAGACAGCCCCAGCUGGCGGCUCCCGACCGUCCCCAACAGAUGCCAGAAGAUGAACAGGGCCUUUUGAGAGCCCUGUCAAGAGCAGCACAGAAAUCAUGCAGGCUGCCAGUGGGAAAAAUAUUUUAAAGGGUGGAUCCAUGAGCACUGCAUCCCUCUGCCUGGGCACAGCUCACUGCCACCAGGGACACCAUCCUUUGCCAUUCUGCAGGCUGGAGAUGAAGCCACCACCCUGGAAUGCCCACCUUUGUCCUACCUGGCACAUGUCAGAGCCUGUAAAGAGCUCUGCUCCUCUGCCACUGCAGGCCUUGGGGAUUUGGCUGGCUGCUUCCAGCCUCACAGAGGGACCCACAGCAACCCAGGGGAUGCAGGAGGCAGCUCCCUACAUUAAAUAAUACUGUUUCCAACAUUAAAAAAUAUGAUUUCCUACAUAAAGAAAGCCUCUCCUUGUGCUGUCUUGCUGAGUAAACUGUCCUAUCUAACACUCCCAGGCACAAGGUGUGAAUUUUGGGACUGUGCAGGGCCAGCAGUUGGGCUCGAUGAUCCUUGUGGGUCCCUUCCAACUCAGGAUAUUCUGUGACUAUAAAAUCUGUAUUUUGCACAAGAUGGAUCUCUUCCAUUUCAUUAUAAGCACACACAGCCCUACUGUAAACCUGCCUGCUGAGCCCCACCAGCUCCCAAGCAUUACAGGAGGACAUGGAGGGUUUCACCCUCCCUUCAGGGUGGGUUUCUGCCUGCCCUGAGCCCA